GUCACAUCACGAAAGUGGGGCCGUACUAGAAAUCGGUGUGCUAACCGCAAGGAGGCAGCCGCUCAAGGUACAGCUCAUGAUUGGGGUG
rnacentral:rRNA from 1 species